AGCAGCAGCCGCGGUAAUACGAAGGGUGCAAGCGUUAAUCGGAAUUACUGGGCGUAAAGCGUGCGUAGGCGGUGAGUUAAGUCUGCUGUGAAAUCCCCGGGCUCAACCUGGGAAUGGCAGUGGAUACUGGCUCGCUAGAGUGUGUCAGAGGAUGGUGGAAUUCCCGGUGUAGCGGUGAAAUGCGUAGAGAUCGGGAGGAACAUCAGUGGCGAAGGCGGCCAUCUGGGACAACACUGACGCUGAGGCACGAAAGCGUGGGGAGCAAACAGGAUUAGAUACCCCCGUAGUCCCUGUCUCUUAUAC
rnacentral:rRNA from 1 species